UACGAAGGGUGCAAACGUUGCUCGGAAUUAUUGGGCGUAAAGCGCACGUAGGCGGCUUAGCAAGUCGGAUGUGAAAUCCCUCGGCUCAACCAAGGAAGUGCAUCCGAAACUGCUGAGCUUGAGUACUUAAGAGGAUCGCGGAAUUCCCGGUGUAGAGGUGAAAUUCGUAGAUAUCUGGAGGAACACCGGUGGCGAAGGCGGCAUCCUGGACCGGCAUUGACGCUGAGGCGCGAAAGCCAGGGGAGCAAACGGG
rnacentral:rRNA from 1 species